UGAUGAACCUCUGACCCUAGUCCCUGAGAAAGAAAUACUUCUCAGUUCUGCAAGUGUCAGGAGCAAAGAUCAUCAUUUCCUUGGCCUAUUCUUGUACUGAUUGGUGUGCUACCAAUAUACACUGGAUGAGCUACAGGAGGGGGCUGCCCUGAGAGCCUCCCACUGGUCAUCAACCUCACAGUCAUGAAAGAAAACAUUGCAGCUGAUCAUUGGGGAAGACUGGGCACUACAGAUAAAGCCCAGGCCCUGAGACACAUGGAAAAGCAAUCUGUACCCACCGCAGAGGGGCAGGAACCUUCUCACAGGUGGAGAGCCUGGUUAGAGGAAAUUGAAGACCGCUGUCCCAGUUUCUGUGGAUGUGACUACAAAGCAACUCAGAGGGGAGAGGACUUUAACCUACAAUCGCAGGUUACAGUUCACCAUGGAAGGGAAGUCCCAGAAGGAGGAAGGUGAGCAGUUAGUCACACCACACGCACAGCGGACAGCAGAAAGGACUAAGGAUGCAUGUUUACGUGUGCUCAGAUCUCUUUCUCUGCACUGCACAGUCCAGGAUCCUCUGAUUACAGAUUGGGACCACCCACAGUGGGCUGGAUCUUCCAGUACUAACUAACAUUAGCAUCCAAGACAACUCUCCACAGACAUACCCACCCGCCAACCUCAUUUGGACAACCCCAGGUGACUUGCAGUUGUGUCAAGUGGACAGUUAAAACUAACCGUCAUGACCCUGAACUUUUUAGUUGUUUGUUUGUUUUUAGCUCCUAGGACAGGGACUUGGUAUGGAUGCAAGGCAGGUGGCCUCAACUGCAUGAUCCCCCUGCUUCAGUCUCCACAGGGCCAGGGUUAGUCUUGUGCCACCACACCAGACUGACUGACCUCAAACCGUUUUACAUUCGAGAACUUUUAAAGUUUGAAACUGACAAUUUACAGCCACUUUCAACCCCAGAAAAUGCAUAAAUGCUUUAUCUCCACCUCUCAGCUACA